UACGAAGGGUGCAAACGUUGCUCGGAAUUAUUGGGCGUAAAGCGCACGUAGGCGGCUUUGCAAGUCGGAUGUGAAAUCCCACGGCUCAACCGUGGAAGUGCACCCGAAACUGCGUAGCUAGAGUCCUGGAGAGGAAGGUGGAAUGCUUGGUGUAGAGGUGAAAUUCGUAGAUAUCAAGCGGAACACCGGUGGCGAAGGCGGCCUUCUGGACAGUGGCUGACGCUGAGGCGCGACAGCGUGGGGAGCAAACAGG
rnacentral:rRNA from 1 species